UACGGGGGGGGCAAGCGUUGUUCGGAAUUACUGGGCGUAAAGGGCUCGUAGGUGGCCAACUAAGUCAGACGUGAAAUCCCUCAGCUUAACUGGGGAACUGCGUCUGAUACUGGAUGGCUUGAAUCCGGGAGAGGGAUGCAGAAUUCCAGGUGUAGCGGUGAAAUGCGUAGAUAUCUGGAGGAAUACCGGUGGCGAAGGCGGCAUCCUGGACCGGCAUUGACGCUGAGGAGCGAAAGCGUGGGGAGCAAACAGG
rnacentral:rRNA from 1 species